AAGCGAAACCGCGAGGUCAAGCAAAUCCCAAAAAUAACGUCCCAGUUCGGACUGUAGUCUGCAACCCGACUACACGAAGCCGGAAUCGCUAGUAAUCGCGAAUCAGAAUGUCGCGGUGAAUACGUUCCCGGGUCUUGUACACACCGCCCGUCACACCAUGGGAGUCGGAAAUGCCCGAAGUCAGUGACCCAACCGCAAGGAGGGAGCUGCCGAAGGCAGGUCCGGUAACUGGGGUGAAGUCGUAACAAGGUACC
rnacentral:rRNA from 1 species